rnacentral:rRNA from 1 species
GUUGUAUAGGUUAAGUUAAUAAGGGCGCGUGGUGAAUGCCUUGGCACUAGGAGCCGAUGAAGGACGUGACUAACUACGAUAAGCUUUGGUGAGCGGUAAGUACGCUAUGACCCAAAGAUUUCCGAAUGGGGAAACCCAACUCGUAAGAGUUGUCUGUAUCUGAAUACAUAGGAUAUUUGACGGAAUACGCUGUGAACUGAAACAUCUCAUUAGCAGCAGGAGCAGAAAGAAAAAUCGAUUCCCUAAGUAGCGGCGAGCGAACGGGGAAGAGCCCAAACCAACGUGCUUGCAUGUUGGGGUUGUAGGACUGAUAUAUAAGAGUUACAAAAGUGUUUUAUAGCAGAACAAGUUGGGAAACUUGGCUAUAGAGGGUGAUAGCCCCGUAAGCGAAAUGAAGCACACUCUUUUCAGGAUCCUGAGUACGGCCGGACACGUGAAAUCCGGUCGGAAUCUGCGGGGACCAUCCCGUAAGGCUAAAUACUCCCUAGUGACCGAUAGUGAACCAGUACCGUGAGGGAAAGGUGAAAAGCACCCCGGAAGGGGAGUGAAAUAGUUCCUGAAACCACGACGCCUACAAGAAGUCAGAGUCCGUUAAUGGGUGAUGGCGUGCCUUUUGUAGAAUGAACCGGCGAGUUACGGUAUCGUGCGAGGUUAAGGUGGAAAGACCGGAGCCGCAGCGAAAGCGAGUGUGAAUAGCGCGAAUAGUACGAUGCUGUAGACCCGAAACCAAGUGACCUACCCAUGGUCAGGAUGAAGGUGAGGUAAAACUUACUGGAGGUCCGAACCGGUGCAUGUUAAAAAAUGCUCGGAUGAACUGUGGGUAGCGGUGAAAUUCCAAACGAACUUGGAGAUAGCUGGUUCUCUCCGAAAUAGCUUUAGGGCUAGCCUCAUUAUAAGCAUACUGGAGGUAGAGCACUGUUAAGCCUAGGGGCCCAUCUCGGGUUACCAAAGUUUGAUAAACUCCGAAUGCCAGAUAUGUAUGAAUGGGAGUCAGACGAUGAGUGAUAAGAUCCACCGUCGAAAGGGGAACAGCCCAGAUCGCCAGUUAAGGUCCCUAAAUAUAUGUUAAGUGGAAAACGAUGUGAUAGUGCAUAGACAACUAGGAUGUUGGCUUAGAAGCAGCCACCAUUUAAAGAGUGCGUAAUAGCUCACUAGUCGAGUGCCAUUGCGCGGAAAAUGUACCGGGGCUAAACAUAUUACCGAAACUGCGGGUGCACGUAAGUGCGCGAUAGGAGAGCGUUGUAAGGGCGACGAAGGUAGAUCGUAAGGACUGCUGGAGCGCUUACAAGUGAGAAUGCCGGUAUGAGUAGCGAAAGACAGGUGAGAAUCCUGUCCACCGAAUGACUAAGGUUUCCUGGGGAAGGCUCGUCCACCCAGGGUUAGUCGGGACCUAAGGCGAGGCUGAGAAGCGUAGUCGAUGGAUAACAGGUUGAGAUUCCUGUACCAGUUGUAAUGCGUUAUUACCGAUGGAGGGACGCAGGAGGCUACCAGAUGCGCACUGAUGGAUAUGUGCGUGCAAGCAGUAAGUCUUGAAAAGAGUGAAAUGCUUUUUUUAU